AUUAGUGAAUUGCUCUUUGAGCGUUAAACUAUAUCCAUCUACACCUGUGAACUGNUGAUUGACUUCGGUCAAUUACUUUUACAAACAUUGUGUACUGAACGUCAUGUUAUUAUAACAAAAAUAACUUUCAACAACGGAUCUCUUGGCUCUCGCAUCGAUGAAGAACGCAGCGAAAUGCGAUAAGUAAUGUGAAUUGCAGAAUUCAGUGAAUCAUCGAAUCUUUGAACGCAACUUGCGCUCUCUGGUAUUCCGGAGAGCAUGCCUGUUUGAGUAUCAUGAAAUCUCAACCAUUAGGGUUUCUUAAUGGCUUGGAUUUGGGCGCUGCCACUUGCCUGGCUCGCCUUAAAAGAGUUAGCGUAUUAACUUGUCGAUCUGGCGUAAUAAGUUUCGCUGGUGUAGACUUGAGAAGUGCGCUUCUAAUCGUCUUCGGACAAUUCUUGAACUCUGGUCUCAAAUCAGGUAGGACUACCCGCUGAACUUAAGCAUAUCAAUAAGCGGAGGAAAAGAAACUAACUAGGAUUCCCUUAGUAACGGCGAGUGAACCGGGAAAAGCUCAAAUUUGUAAUCUGGCUGUCUUCGAUAGUCCGAGUUGUAAUCUAUAGACGUGUUUUCCGUGCUGGACCGUAUCUAAGUCCCUUGGAACAGGGUAUCAAAGAGGGUGACAAUCCCGUGCUUGAUACGACCACCAGUGCUCUGUGAUACACGCUCUACGAGUCGAGUUGUUUGGGAAUGCAGCUCAAAAUGGGUGGUAAAUUCCAUCUAAAGCUAAAUAUUGGCGAGAGACCGAUAGCGAACAAGUACCGUGAGGGAAAGAUGAAAAGCACUUUGGAAAGAGAGUUAAACAGUACGUGAAAUUGUUGAAAGGGAAACGAUUGAAGUCAGUCGUGUUCUUUGGAUUCAGCUAGUUCUUCUAGUCUACUUCCAUUGAACGGGUCAACAUCAGUUUUGUCCGGUGGAUAAAGAUAGUAGGAAUGUAGCUCCCCCGGGAGUGUUAUAGACUAANAUUGCAUACACUGGGUGAGACUGAGGACUGCAGCUCGCCUUUUGGCC
rnacentral:rRNA from 1 species